rnacentral:rRNA from 1 species
UGGGGAAUAUUGGACAAUGGAGGGAACUCUGAUCCAGCAAUUCUGUGUGUGUGAAGAAGGUUUUAGGACUGUAAAACACUUUUAGUAGGGAAGAAAAAAAUGACGGUACCUACAGAAGAAGCAACGGCUAAAUACGUGCCAGCAGCCGCGGUAAUACGUAAGUUGCGAGCGUUAUCCGGAAUUAUUGGGCUUAAAGGGCAUCUAGGCGGUAAGACAAGUUGAAGGUGAAAACCUGUGGCUCAACCAUAGGCUUGCCUACAAAACUGUUGAACUAGAGUACUGGAAAGGUGGGUGGAACUACACGAGUAGAGGUGAAAUUCGUAGAUAUGUGUAGGAAUGCCGAUGAUGAAGAUAACUCACUGGACAGAAACUGACGCUGAAGUGCGAAAGCUAGGGGAGCAAACAGG